UAGCUUUAGCAGCACAUAUACUAAAAUUAGAAUGAUAAAGAGAAGAUUAGCAUGGCCCCUGAGCAAGGAUGACACGCACAUUUGUGAAGUGUUCCAUAUUUAA